AACGAACGCUGGCGGCGUGCCUAACACAUGCAAGUCGAACGAGAAAGGGAUUUCGGUCCUGAGUAAAGUGGCGCACGGGUGAGUAACACGUAGGUAACCUACCUCUAAGUUUGGGACAACCUGUCGAAAGAUGAGCUAAUACUGAAUAAGACCACAGUUUCCUCGGAAGCAGGGGUUAAAGGUAGCCUCUAUUUAUAAGCUAUCACUUAGAGAUGGGCCUGCGUACCAUUAGCUAGUUGGUGAGGUAACGGCUCACCAAGGCAAAGAUGGUUAGCUGGUCUGAGAGGAUGAUCAGCCACACUGGAACUGAGACACGGUCCAGACUCCUACGGGAGGCAGCAGUGGGAAUAUUGCGCAAUGGGCGAAAGCCUGACGCAGCAACGCCGCGUGAGUGAU
rnacentral:rRNA from 1 species